GACGAGCUCCCCGAACGUUAUUCGGUAUCACUGGGCUUAAAGAGUUCGUAGGCGGCGAAGUAGGUGAGGUGUGAAAGCCCUCGGCUCAACCGAGGAACUGCGCUUCAAACCGCUUUGCUAGAGGGAGAUAGGGGUAAGCGGAACAGAUGGUGGAGCGGUGAAAUGCAUUGAUAUCAUCUGGAACACCGGUGGCGAAAGCGGCUUACUGGGUCUUUUCUGACGCUGAGGAACGAAAGCUAGGGUAGCGAACGGG
rnacentral:rRNA from 1 species